rnacentral:rRNA from 1 species
AGUGAACGCUGGCGGCAGGCCUAAUACAUGCAAGUCGAGCGAACAGACGAUGAGCUUUCGCCUUCGAGGGUAGCGGCGGACGGGUGAGUAAGACGUAGAUAACCAACCAAUAAGUCGGGGGUAACUUCGUGGGACAAGAUAUGAUAACGGCUAAUAUGACGUACGGGAGAGUUCAAGGGAGAAAGGUACCUUUGGUGAUAGAUUUAGCUGAACUUGGGCCGUAUUAGCUAGUUGGUAAGGUAACGGCUUACCAAGGCAACGAUCCGUAGCCGACCUGAGAGGGUGAUCGGCCACACUGGAACUGAGACACGGUCCAGACUCCUACGGGAGGCAGCAGUGGGGAAUCUUCCGCAAAGGGCGAAAGCCUGACCGAGCCACGCCGCGUGAGUGAUGAAGGUCUUCGGAUCGUAAAACCCUGUUAUUAGGGAAGAACAACAGUGUAAGUAUCUGUGCCCGUCUUGACGGUACCUAAUCAAAAAGCAACGGCUAACUACGUG